rnacentral:rRNA from 1 species
UACGAGGGGGGCGAGCGUUGUCCGGAAUUAUUGGGCGUAAAGAGCUCGUAGGCGGUUUGUUGCGUCGGCUGUGAAAUCCCGAGGCUCAACCUCGGGUCUGCAGUCGAUACGAGCAAACUAGAGUGUUGCAGGGGAGACUGGAAUUCCUGGUGUAGCGGUGAAAUGCGCAGAUAUCAGGAGGAACACCGGUGGCGAAGGCGGGUCUCUGGGCAACAACUGACGCUGAGGAGCGAAAGCGUGGGGAGCGAACAGG